AUCGCGUCCCCAUCUCUGCCCCUCGCGCAGAUCCCGGGUCCGCCCAGCCAGCCGCCAUGCCAGCGCCUCCGCACGCCAGUCCGCUAUCUCCGCCCCAACUGCAGUCUCCUCGCCGCCGCCGCCCUCCUCCUCGCCUCUCGCCACUCCUCGCGGCGCGCCCCGUCAUCCACCCUCGCGCCAUCGCCGUCGUCGGAACCCUAGGCCGUCGAGUCGGAGCUCCCGUCGGCGGGGAACCGGGUGGGGGAGGAUGCAGCUGUGGAUCUAGACGAGCAUGCGCAGCAUCAACAUCUCACCAUCUCCACCAGCAAUGGCGUCGUCGACUCCAUGAAGGUGCGCAUCACGCCGCAGCCGCCCCCACCGCCUUCGCGGCCGUCCCGGCUCACGCGGGCGCCGUACCCACCUGCUUGCCUUCAAUUUGCGGCCGCCUGCCGGGCGCUAUGCUUAGCGUCCGCCGAUUUGCCACCGCCUUGCCCGCGUCCCUCCGCCAUCUCUGACGCCGCCGCACCGUCCGCCGGCCUAUCGUCGCCGCUGCCUGCUCAUGAUGAGGCUCCGUCCUUGCCGCAAAAAUCAGACCUCAACCCCGCCGCUCCUUGCUUUCUCCCCUGCCGCUGCCAGGUGUCAUCCUCUCUAGCUGCUCCUCCCAUCCUACCCUGCCGCAACCAUCAGAGAUCCAUCCUGCCGCUCCCCAAUUAGCGAUGUUAUCGUGUCCCUCCGCUGCCAUCGCCACCGCCGCCGCCUAGCCAUGGCGAGCCUCUCUCUUUGCCGCAGCCAUAGACCUUCACUGUUGCUACCCAACUAGCAGGCAGCAUCUUCUUGCCUUGAUGAUACAUGACAUAUCCGUGCAUGUCUGAAGAACUGAAGCUCAUUGCAUGCCUUCCGUUCCUUGCCUUGAUAUAAUGCCACGGUGAUUGAAUGACAAGUGUUUUAUGGCUUCGGUGACUUGGAGUCCAAGGGAUUCCUCAUUCAUCAGCCAUUUUCCAUUUAAUGCAACGAGUAAGCAAGCCAACAAAAAUGAUGCAAAAGAACUGCAUUACAAGAACCGAAUCUGCCCACUCGAAAAAGUAUUGAUGUGACGAUGCCGCGCUCCCAGAAAUGGAACAAAGAUGAGUUCCAACAAGCUUCCAGUGUCGCGCGGGCAUGAGGCCGUGGCAAUGGCCAUAGAGAAUGCUGGGCCAGUGCAUUUCUUCAUGACUAGUUGCUUUACUUAAUCUCACUGAAAUAUCAUCAACUUGGGCAAGGGUUAUUGAUGUCAUGGAUAGUGAGUGAUUUCUUCUUAUUGCUUUGAGAUGACCAAUCUGCAAUCCCGCGUCUUCUGUAGACAAAUUUUGUGGUUCAUUGCUACCACAAAGAUAAUCCACAUCUCUGUGAUCAACUGUGAUUUUUUUUAAUGAUUAAUGAUGAAAACACAAGUUGGAAAAGUUGCCAUUAGGUCCUGAGUCCUAGCUGUUUCUCUCGCGCUUCUUUUUUUUUUCCUCCUGAGCUUUAUUUUUGUUUGGACUGCCUUGUACCAUAUUUUUUGCUUCUUAAUAUAAUUGUAGGCAGUCCUCCUGCCCGUUAAAAAGAAAAAGGUUGCAUUUACACUGAAUUUGUAGGCAGCACUAGGAUUUGGUUUGGCAUUUACACUGAAGUUGGAAAAGUGCAGUUGUCUUAUCCUUCUUUUACUUUCAGGUAUGGUUAUAAAUAUGUAUCUCUACAUGCACUGUCAAGCUUGCAUGUAAUUAUUUGAACAUAUCAUGGUACAAAGAGCACAUCAAUUGCUCUCCAAAUCACCUUUUCUCCAUGAUUUUCAGAAACUGACAAUAAUAGCUACCACAAUUGGAUUUCUGAAAAAUUUUAUUCUGCAGAAAGGAUGUGCAGGAAUUAUUUCUUUCUUAUAAUCUAGAGCAAUUUACUUUUAUAAUUUUUCAAAUAUGUUAUUGGCAUGAUGAUGUAAUAAUGGACAAUGAUCGUAUGCAUUGGAUGAUGCAAAAUGUCAGAUCUUUAUCCAUUUUUUAUUCUAAAAAAGGAAGGUUGGAGCAU